CCUACGGGAGGCAGCAGUGAGGAAUAUUGGUCAAUGGCCGUAAGGCUGAACCAGCCAAGUCGCGUGAAGGAAGAAGGAUCUAUGGUUUGUAAACUUCUUUUAUAGGGGAAUAAAGGUAUCCACGUGUGGAUCUUUGCAUGUACCCUAUGAAUAAGCAUCGGCUAACUCCGUGCCAGCAGCCGCGGUAAUACGGAGGAUGCGCGCGUUAUCCGGAUUUAUUGGGUUUAAAGGGUGCGUAGGUGGUUUUUUAAGUCAGCGGUGAAAGUUUGUGGCUCAACCAUAAAAUUGCCGUUGAAACUGGACGACUUGAGUGGGUUUGAGGUAGGCGGAAUGCGUGGUGUAGCGGUGAAAUGCAUAGAUAUCACGCAGAACUCCGAUUGCGAAGGCAGCUUACUAAGCCAUAACUGACACUGAAGCACGAAAGCGUGGGGAUCAAACAGGAUUAGAUACCCGAGUAGUC
rnacentral:rRNA from 1 species